GUGCUUGCUUUGGCAGCACAUAGGCUAAAAUUGGAACAAUACAGAGAAGAGCAUGGCCCCUGUACAAGAAUGACACGCAGAUUUGUGAUUAUGGAAACAAGUGGUU